AGGGGAUCGUCCUGAACAAUGGGGGCUGUGUCGUCAACUUCAAAAUAAAAAUUGCCAGAGGGAGGUUCAUAAUUCUUCGGGAAUAUGCCCGUGAAAAUAUCUGCGGAUGAGCCAAGGGACCUAGAUCCACGCCAUAUGACCUCAAGAGUUUUCAGAUCCUUCCGUUUUUCCCGAUCUUGGUAAUCAAUACGAGAGAAGUAGAGAGCAUCAAAUCCAACCUCAGCGCUAAGCAAGUAGGCCUGCACUGCCGAAUGCCCGAACGGAUCAAUCUGCCACCCGAUCCUCGG
rnacentral:misc_RNA from 1 species